rnacentral:rRNA from 1 species
UACGAAGGGGGCUAGCGUUGUUCGGAAUUACUGGGCGUAAAGCGCACGUAGGCGGAUCGAUCAGUCAGGGGUGAAAUCCCAGAGCUCAACUCUGGAACUGCCUUUGAUACUGUCGGUCUAGAGUAUGGAAGAGGUGAGUGGAAUUCCGAGUGUAGAGGUGAAAUUCGUAGAUAUUCGGAGGAACACCAGUGGCGAAGGCGGCUCACUGGUCCAUUACUGACGCUGAGGUGCGAAAGCUAGGGGAGCAAACGGG